UUAAUACACUGUCCAGGUCAUGAUUUUUCUCAACUGCUGCAUGUUUAUAUAUUUGGGUGCUAGUCAAUUAGAGAAUGUCUAUGAUACAAUGUCUGUACUAUGUGCCAGUGUAGUUGUACUGAUACUUUGGGUUCAUCCGUGCAGCAGAGGACAAGGGCUUCAUGGCCAACCAAGGCGCAUGGUGCUCGCAAGCGACGAAUGGAGGUUGUUCGACAUAGGCACGGAGGAGGAGGAGGGGCACGGACGAAGGAGGACAGAGCACCUCUCUUCUUCUAGGUUCUUCUCCAUACCUUCACUUCUUGUAUGUGCCUGUGCUGCAACUCACCCAUGGUCUUGUUUUUCCUGCAGGUUAUUGAGCAGCAUCAGGAGGAGGAGCUCAAGCUCGACCACCAAGAGGCACCAUCGCAGCAGCAGAUGAGUCCCUCGAUGAAGCGGCAGCGUCUCCUCUAGAGGGUGACGGUGGCGGCGGCGCCGGCGCCUGUGUGCAGCUUCGACUACAACCUCCUCUCCGGUGCCACCGGACGCAAUGGUGGAGCCUAUGCCUCCUUGCUGAAGCUUCUCGCUCUACACCAGUUUAUGGUGCUGCGGAUGUGGUUAAGAUGGCGUUCUACACUAUGCUUCUUAUGUUGCAUGUGAAUGGGUGUGAGUAGAUAAAACUAGAGUGUUCUUAUAGGAAGGCAAGUUGUUGCAUCUGGAGCACAUGAGAUGUGCUAAUACGAGUUGGAACAAUGUGAUGUAGUAGUAAGUUAAGGCAAAUUGUGUAGAUGAUGUAUUCCUGUGUAAUUAAAUGUUGUAUUCUCUGUGUACAUGCUGCUUUAAAUGACGUGAAGACUAUGAAAAUUGUGUACAUGCUACUUCAUAUGGAAAAUAGUACUGGGCCUGAAUUGGACAUGGCCCAAACAAAG